CCGCUGAGCCAUCUCUCCAGCCCCUGGUUUAUUUCUAAUAUUAACCCCAGCUGAUGAUAUACAGCUCAGACUUGAUUUUAUUAGAGUCCAAUCAUGCCUAAUGUGUGAGCUGAAUGAGUCAGCCAGGUCUAUUUGGCAUGGGACAACCUGAAUGGCAUGAGAACAUGGUUGUUUAAGAAUUAAUUUUAUUUAUGUGUAUGGGGGUGUCUGAUUGUGUAGAUUCUACAUAUGUGAGGCUGUUCCAGGCCAGAAGACUCUGUCAGAUAUUCUGCAGCUGAAAUUUGAGGCAACCCCUCAGAAGGGUCAUUUGACCUGUAAAGGAGUCAAGACCCACAAGUUGAGAACUACUGCACUGGACCUUGGCAUUGGGGUCAGGGUGACUGACACAGAAAAUGACUUCUGGUCAGUGUAAGGACAAAGAGGAAUCUCGGGGUACUUCCUUGGCCAGUAGAGAGGCUGAAUGGCCAUCUACGGGGUAUUGAUCUCCUGAAUUUGAGCUGUUAUAUGAAAUGAGACACACAAUGGGUUUGUGAAACCAGGACAAAUAAUAUAAAAUGUCUCAUUUGUAAGCUUUUAUGCUGACUACUGUUGAAAUGACAUUUUGAAUCUGUUAUAUUAAAUAAAGAACAUUGAAUAUUCUA